GGGCGGUUUAAAUGAAAAAAAGGAAACACAAGGGCGGGAGGCAGAACAAGAAAACGUCAAAUAUCCAAAACAUUCGACUUCAUAAAAUAAAAAUAUAAAAAAAGAUAUGUAAAUCUUAUCUUAAUAUAUAAUGGUAACGGGAGGUUAUGGGCUAUUUAAAUGAAAAAAAAAAGGAAACAAAAGGGUAGGAGGCAGAACCAGAAAAUGUCAAAUAUCCAAAAUAUUUGACGUAUAACAUGUGUUUUUUCAAGUCAAUUUAUACGUCAAAGCCCAGUAGAAUUUGAUGUAUCGUUUGUAUUUUUAAACCAGAGAAGUUGAGAAGUUAAAAACUACUAGAUUGUGAAAGAUGUUCCGAGAAUACUAUUUAGACUUGGCUUUUUCAUCAU
rnacentral:lncRNA from 1 species